AAAUGACAGCGCAGACCUCACUUUCAUUAUCUCUGUGUUUCUCCUUGUUCUGUUCUCAUCAUUCAUCAGGGUGAUAUUACAGGAUUUUCAUUCACACAGAGCUGAUGUGGAUGUUUCUGCUCCUCGUCGAUUCACUUUUUACAGUCAUCAGACGAGGACAUUGUGAAGCAAGGUGAUAUGUGACAGAUCACAUCUGGAGUAUCAGAGAAGAGAAAAGGGCAUUAAAUGAGAUAUGAACAGCAGAGAGUCUAAAGAAUCACGAGAGAGAAGCCUACCGAAGCAUAUUCGCAGAGACAGCAUGCAGCAAAAACCAAACAUGUGUCUGGAUGCAGACGGACCUGAAGAGUUUCAUUCUGGUGAAUUAGAGACAGUCACAGAUGAGGUGAGAGACUGAUAGAUAGUCUCGUGAAGGAAAAACAACUGAUGUGUGGAGCUG
rnacentral:lncRNA from 1 species